rnacentral:rRNA from 1 species
UACGUAGGGUGCAAGCGUUGUCCGGAAUCAUUGGGCGUAAAGCGCGCGUAGGUGGCUUUGUAAGUCCGUUGUGAAAGUCAAAGGCUCAACCUUUGAAUGCCGAUGGAUACUGCGGAGCUAGAGUACGGAAGAGGCGAGUGGAAUUCCUGGUGUAGCGGUGGAAUGCGCAGAUAUCAGGAGGAACACCAGUGGCGAAAGCGGCUCACUGGACCACAACUGACGCUGAUGCGCGAAAGCUAGGGGAGCAAACAGG